rnacentral:misc_RNA from 1 species
GAUGAAGAACGCAGUGAAAUGCGAUAAGUAAUGUGAAUUGCAGAAUUCAGUGAAUCAUCGAAUCUUUGAACGCACCUUGCGCUCCUUGGUAUUCCUUGGAGCAUGCCUGUUUGAGUAUCAUGAGCAAAUCUCAAAGUCGAUCCUUUUGUUAAUUCAAUUGGUUUGCUUUGGACUUGGAGGCCUUGCAGAUUUCACCGUCUGCUCCUCUUAAAUGCAUUAGCUGGAUCUCAGUAUUAUGCUUGGUUCCACUCGGCGUGAUAAGUAUCACUCGCUGAGGACACUGUAAAAGGUGGCCAGGAAAAUACUGAUCGAACCGCUUCUAACGGUCUAUUAACUUAGACAAUUACCCUUAAGUUUGAUCUCAAAUCAGGUAGGACUACCCGCUGAACUUAAGCAUAUCAAUAAGCGGAGGA